rnacentral:rRNA from 1 species
AUUGAACGCUGGCGGCAUGCCUAACACAUGCAAGUCGAACGAGUGGCGGAGGGGUGAGUGAGUUCUUUAAAACUGGCCGAUGGAGGGGGAUAACUACUGGAACCGGUAGCUAAUACCGCAUACCAGCGGUGGGGCCCAGAUGGGAUUAGCUAGUAGGUGGGGUAACGGCGCACCUAGGCGACGAUCCCUAGCUGGUCUGAGAGGAUGACCAGCCACACUGGAACUGAGACACGGUCCAGACUCCGACGGGAGGCAGCAGUGGGGAAUAUUGCGCAAUGGGCGAAAGUCUGACGUAGCCACGCCGCGUGUAUGAAGAAGGUUUUCGGGUUGUAAAGCUAUGGUAGUAGUGAAGCGGUACCUGCACAAAAAGCACCGGCUAACUACGUGCCAGCAGCCGCGGUAAUAC